rnacentral:rRNA from 1 species
UGGGGAAUAUUGCACAAUGGGCGCAAGCCUGAUGCAGCCAUGCCGCGUGUAUGAAGAAGGCCUUCGGGUUGUAAAGUACUUUCAGUCGGGAGGAAGGUGGUAAGGUUAAUAACCUUAUCAAUUGACGUUACCGACAGAAGAAGCACCGGCUAACUCCGUGCCAGCAGCCGCGGUAAUACGGAGGGUGCAAGCGUUAAUCGGAAUUACUGGGCGUAAAGCGCACGCAGGCGGUUGAUUGAGUCAGAUGUGAAAUCCCCGGGCUUAACCCGGGAAUUGCAUCUGAUACUGGUCAGCUAGAGUCUUGUAGAGGGGGGUAGAAUUCCAUGUGUAGCGGUGAAAUGCGUAGAGAUGUGGAGGAAUACCGGUGGCGAAGGCGGCCCCUUGGACAAAGACUGACGCUCAGGUGCGAAAGCGUGGGGAGCAAACAGG